rnacentral:miRNA from 1 species
ACACAGUGAGGGUUAUCAGCUG